CACACACACGCGUGCGCGCGCGCGCGCACAGAGUGAGAGAAACAAAGGGACCCAUCAACGCUAGCCCGGACACGCACGCGCUCCAACUUUUUUUUGUUAUCCACCCAGCGGAUGCCACCGCGAGGCGCGAGCUGCUCCACUCUGUCCAGAUCUGCGGGAUUUUAUCGGAAGGCUCAACUUCACGACCGCGCUCAAGUUUGGGAUUUUGGAUUAUAUCGACUUGGGAACGUUUUACGGAUUAAGGAUUACCCACGAUUCCCUCUUCCGAAUACUGGAUUAUUUACUCGUGCCGUGGGAUUAUCGCACCGUCCGCGACGGGAAAACGGCGUGAGGUUUAUUGACAUACCAUCAAUGGACACCAUGGGUGUGUUCUUCAACUUGAUCAGCAGGACCUGAGAUGCCCUCAUGCUGACCUGCAACGAAAGAACCGUACAGGAACCGGAGGUUAAGUAACCAAACACAACGAAAGAUCUGUUAUUGAUCACGAUGUGCACGCCGUGGCUCGUCGAGGAAACAGCAGCGAGGUGGAGGAGGAGGAGGAUUCAUCCUGAGUCACUGAGUGAAACUGAGGUAAACAGAGGGAGGGAGUAUGAGUCAGACUGUGUGUGUGUGUGUGUGUGUGUGUGUGUGUCUGUGUACACUCUGCAUGCUUCAUGCAAGUGCACGGCGAGGUUUACUCUUUAUUUUUUGACUGCUUGAAGCACUUUUGGACUCAUGUUCUAACCAGACAGGUCUUCUGAGAGAAUUUUUCAAUCAUAUCCAUAAUUUUCAUUGCUAAAGUUCACCAGUUAGCUGACAUGAGCUAACUUAUCAACCUGAACCACCUAAGAGUUUAUUUAUUCAUUUAUUUAUUUAUUUACACAUCUUAUUAAUACAUUUCAGCAUUCAAGUGCUGAAGCUAACCUGCUUGCUAUCACGAAAAACCGAACAUAAUUCAUUAUUGUUCAUAAUUUAUACCAGUUACAUUAGCUGGCUAGCUAACAUACGCUAACCUGACAGGGUUUCUGGGAGAAGUUAAUGUUUAUAAAUGUACCUCUAAAACAAACUUGCUUACUAAGACAGGAUUUCUGAGAGGAACUUGGAAUCAUAUCAGUUUAGCCAUGCGCUAACCUGAUAACCUGAAAGGAUUUCUGAGAGGAACUGUCAUUCAUAUUGAUCACUUUUUUUCAAUAUUUUCGCCUCAAAAGCUAACACAACACCUGACAUAACAUGAGCUGAGACAAACUUCAAAUCAUGUUCUUAAAUAUUAUUUAUUUUUACUGUUGUUUCUUCAUGAUACACGCCGUCUAACCACCACGGGCUAAUCUGACAGUAUUUCUGAGAGGAUUUUUCUUUUUGUACUUUAAUUGUUUCGGAUGAAACCGAUUAGCACAGGUUUAUAUUUUACAAUACAAGCAGGACGUUAUUAGCAUAAUUAUACAUGCUUGUGUUUUCACAUCUUCUUGCCUAGCUAACACGAGUUAACCUGACAAGAUUUAUGAGAAGUUUCCUUUACAAGCCAUUUUCUAUUCUAACUCUAGCCAGCUAACUAACAUCAGCUAACAUGAAAACCUGACAGGAUUUCUGAUAUGAAAUUGCUAGCCAACAUGGGCUAACUAGACAGGAUUUCUGAGAAGAUUUUUAAAAGGGGUUCCCCCCCCCCGUUUUUUUAGCUGAAGCUAAUCUUUUAGCUAACCAUGACCUAACCUGAGUGGAUUUGAGAUUUUUGGCUCCUAAUUGUAAAGCUAACCCGCCUAGCAAACAUGAUCUGACCAUGUGACAGGAUGCUAAACCCUUUCAUGAUUUCAUUCUAAUAAAUAUUAGAAAUAUUAUCGGAUAAUCCGAUUGUAUAAAUGUCUUAUAUUUGGCCCUGGGGUGAAUAUUCACCUUUCGGGAGACAUUCGUAAAGAAAUUUCGAGUUCGAUGAUUCCUUGAUUUUAGUGUGAUGGAAUUAUCCAUGCUAGCAAAAAUCUGAAAAAAAACAAAACCCAACAACCCCAAAGUAGUCCAUAUCGUAUUUAGCAUUUAGCCAUGCUAGCACACGGUUUUUGGUCUAGCUGUCGAACAUUUCUUCGUCCUAUGACGACACCUAGCAAUCAGAAAGCCCAAAAUGGACCUCUUUUCGACGCCCUGAAGCUAUUAAAGGUCCUGCAGGAGCAUCUGCCUACAGAGCGACCCGGCCCAGUCCGGCCUGGGAAAGAAUAAUCCUGAGAGGUUUUUCCUCAGAGAGACGGAGCGACCUCGAAGCUGGUUAUUACAUGACUGUCCAGCCCAGGAAAAAAAAAAAACCGACAGGGAGUGGUGUUUGGCUCAUGAAGCUUGGCUAACGUGGCUCGGUAUUGAUGCUAUCACAAAAGGGCAGAUAAUGAGCUGAGUUUAGGUGCUUCCCGCCCUCGAGCUGUUUUGGUCUUGUUUUGCUGGAGUGGUGUGUCAGAUCAGAUCAGCUCCUUUAGCUGUAAAGGAGGGAAUUCUUCCCUGACGGAAGUAUUCCGCUGGAGACUCCUUCUGUAAAUCUUAAAUAUAAAUACUAAAUAAAAACUGUUCAUGCCCCAGCGCAUUAAUAUAAACCUGUGGUAUGCAGGUGCGCUAAUAUCAGGGCUGCUGUUAUCAGAAGUGAAUCAACACUUGUUGACGUGCGAGAAGAGAGUAGUUAAAUAGUUCAAUCAUAUUUGCUGUUAGUUUUAAUAUGUAUAUGAUUAAUACAGAUUAUUUUAUGAAUUAGUUACGAGGUUCCCUCGGUUCAAGGUUCUUGUGAAAACUUGUAGAGCAGUAACAGGACUCGGUCUGUCUGUGCAGGAUUCGACAGGUUUGGGUGUGUGGAGUCACUGGGCUUUCUUCGCUUGUUAAAGCAGGACGCUUGUAAAGCAGGAAGAUAAAUUCGAGUCCAUGUGUUAUAAACGGGAACGGCGGGGAAACCUAUCCUCUAAACCGCAAGGAGCCCUGCGGCUUUUCCUGACCGCCCUGAUCCAGACGAGCCGACCCGUAGCUGUUUUCUGUCAGCAGUCUCUCCAGGAGAAGUUCGUGGUGAGGUCACAGGGAACAACCUUUUUUGAGGCGGGACGGAAGACGGCGUAGACUCAAAACCGGUUUCUUCUAAACCCGUGCCCGAACAUGUCCUGUGAGACUGGUGGGGUUGGAAUAGAAUCGGUACCCCCCAGAUCCGUCACGCAAAACCGCCACCGAGCCGCGGAACCUGUCCGUCUGAUCCCGAGACGCCGAACGUGACGCGCCACGAGCACGGAGGCCUGUAAUCCGUGUGAUGGUUGGAUAAACGUUGAAUAACGAACGCAGCGUCACUGUAUUACGUAACGGAAUCCUGUAGGGUCGUCAUGGCGACCUGUUUCGUAUCGAUCUCGCCGGAUUCCUAAUAUUUCACCACUCCCUGCCCUCAUCCUCGUCCCCGCGUCCGAAUGUUAAAAACGUGACUCAAAGUGUUCGGAGAGUAAAUACAGAGGUUUUGUGUGUUAACUGGACAAACUGUUGUGUUAAAGUACAGUUUUAGUCUGAAAUUUAUAUUUGUAACACCGGGAACAUGGUAGUAAAAGCUUUUUUAAUCCGAUUAAGCGAUUAGGAACAGAAUCGUUAGCUGCGGCUCUAAUUAAAAUAUAACAGUUUAGUUAAAGGGAAGGAGAGGUAUUAGUGUAAACACGCAGCACCGUUUGUCCGUGUGUUUGUGUCGAGACCCGUUUGUCACGUCUAACAGGCCGAGCUUGACUUCAGCAGCAAAGAUUCUCAGGAUAAGCGUUGAUGGAAACCGGUGAACCCGCAUGUACAGGCGGUUCCCUUAAUCAAAUAAUUAAUAUCCAGUUCCUGUAAUAUGACACGAGGCCAGGUUGGAAUACGAUACAACUGUUGUGUCAUACUGGCUGCAAAAGGGCACGUUUAAAAUAUAUUCUUUAUGUACAGGUAUUUACAGGGUUUUUUUUUUAUGGGUCAUAUAGUGUAUGAGGACUUAAAAUAGCUUAGGUCUUAGAAUGUGUUGUAUGACCUGCUAUAGCCCAUAUAGUGUAUAGGAGGCCUUAUAAUGUAUUAUAUUAUAACGUAUGGUCUUAUUAUAGGCCUUAUAGUGUAUUAUAGCGCAUUAUAGGUGUUGUUAUAGGUCUUACUGUUAUAGGCCGUAUAGUGUAUGAUGCCUUAUAAUGUAUUAUAUGUCUUAUUAUAGGCCUUAUAGCGUAUAUGACCUAAUAUUGACCAUAUAGUGUAUUAUAGGUUUUAUUAUAGGCCUUACAAUGUAUUAUAGGCUAUAUAGUGUAUAAGAAGUCUUGUAGUGUAUGAUAUGUCUUACUAUAGGCCUUACAGUGUAAUGUAGGCCUAUUAUAUGGUGUAUGAGACAUUAUAAUGUAUUAUAUGACCUAUUAUCGGCCUCGUAGUGUAUCAUUUGAUCUAUUAUAGGCCUAAUGGAAUAAAAGUACGCUAAUGAAAGCAUGGCGAUGGGGCAGAGUGAGCCAGGAUCAGCUGAAUGAGGUACAGAACAGAUGACGGCAUUUUCUUAAUGUUCUAUUAAACUGUCAGAUUUGUUUAUAGAUUAAAAGCGAGCUGUCACUGCCCCCUCUCUGCUACUCCUCAACACUGAAAUCAACCUUUUCAACGUUUCAGCUCCACAUUCAGUCGCCUGCGAGUCAGAAUUUCAGCUGUGGCUCUGUUCCUGAUGUAGCUUAUUGUCCAGGAAGUCGAUUCUGUAGGCGGCUGAUGGAUAAUUUGUUGGUAAAAUACUUGUUGCUUUGACCAUUUACAACCCAGUUUACACUCUGGCCUUUUUUUUUUUUUUCAUUUUCUUAUUACACACACUGCAGCAGUCGGAUCCAGUCUGGCUUCUGGGAGAUUACAAAUGUGGUUAAAAGCUUAUGAAACGACCAGUUGUAAGAGAUCUAUUAUACAGUUCUAUAGCAAUGGCCAUAAGGCACCAUAAAUCUUAUAACUAUAAAGAUUAUAAUAGUUCUUAUAGUACACUAUAGAGCCUAGUAUAAUGCCUAUAGAACACUAUAAAGCCUAUACGAAUCCCUGUAGUACACUAUAAAGCCUGUACUAAUCCCUGUAGUACACUAUAAAGCCUGUACUAAUCCCUGUAGUGCACUAUAAAGCCUGUACUAAUCCCUGUAGUACGCUAUAAAGCCUGUACUAAUCCCUGUAGUACACUAUAAAGCCUGUACUAAUCCCUGUAGUACACUAUAAAGCCUGUACUAAUCCCUGUAGUACACUAUAAAGCCUGUACUAAUCCCUGUAGUACACUAUAAAGCCUGUACUAAUCCCUGUAGUACACUAUAAAGCCUGUACUAAUCCCUGUAGUACACUAUAACGCCUAUAUUAAUCCCUGUAGUACACUAUAAAGCCUGUACUAAUCCCUGUAGUGCGCUAUAAAGCCUGUACUAAUCCCUGUAGUGCGCUAUAAAGCCUGUACUAAUCCCUGUAGUGCACUAUAAUGCCUAUAUUAAUCCCUGUAGUGCACUAUAAAGCCUGUACUAAUCCCUGUAGUACACUAUAAAGCCUGUACUAAUCCCUGUAGUGCACUAGAGAAUCUGUACUAAUCCCUGUAGUGCACUAUAAAGCCUGUACUAAAUCCCUGUAGUACACUAUAAAGCCUGUACUAAUCCCUGUAGUACACUAUAAAGCCUGUACUAAUCCCUGUAGUACGCUAUAAAGCCUGUACUAAUCCCUGUAGUACACUAUAAAGCCUGUACUAAUCCCUGUAGUACACUAUAAAGCCUGUACUAAUCCCUGUAGUACGCUAUAAAGCCUGUACUAAUCCCUGUAGUACACUAUAAAGCCUGUACUAAUCCCUGUAGUACACUAUAAAGCCUGUACUAAUCCCUGUAGUACACUAUAAUGCCUAUAUUAAUCCCUGUAGUGCACUAUAAAGCCUGUACUAAUCCCUGUAGUACACUAUAAAGCCUGUACUAAUCCCUGUAGUGCAUUAUAAAGCCUGUACUAAUCCCUGUAGUACGCUAUAAAGCCUGUACUAAUCCCUGUAGUGCGCUAUAAAGCCUGUACUAAUCCCUGUAGUACGCUAUAAAGCCUGUACUAAUCCCUGUAGUACACUAUAAAGCCUGUACUAAUCCCUGUAGUACACUAUAAUGCCUAUAUUAAUCCCUGUAGUGCACUAUAAAGCCUGUACUAAUCCCUGUAGUACACUAUAAAGCCUGUACUAAUCCCUGUAGUGCACUAUAAAGCCUGUACUAAUCCCUGUAGUACACUAUAAUGCCUAUAUUAAUCCCUGUAGUACACUAUAAAGCCUGUACUAAUCCCCGUAGUACACUAUAAUGCCUAUAUUAAUCCCUGUAGUGCACUAUAAAGCCUGUGACACUAAUAAUAGUACUAAUUAAUAGUACAAUGGAUAAUAACUAAUAAGAAGAUAUAAUACACCAUAAUGCCUAUAGUAGCAGCUGUAAUGCACCACAAGCUCUAUAAGACACUAUAAUAAGUCUAAUAAUUCAUUAUAAGCUCUAUUAUACUGUUUUAUAUCUUCACUGGAAACGAAAAGGCAUAAACACGCAGACAUCUAACACCACAGCAGCUGACGGACUGAAUUUGGAGUGAAGGUCAUUGUACAUGUAAAAAAAAUAAAAAAAUAAAAAAUGUUGGUUUGUUUUUUGUGAAAAUGUUUAAAACAUUAUCUGUUCAUGAAAAUAGCCAUUUCUUGUCAGACUGUUCAUGCUUACGAACGUGAGCUGGUAUGGAUGACGUGAUUAAGUAAACGUUUUCCGACCUUCAGGCCAAGCGCAUUUGGAGAAAUAAAAAUAGUUCUGAACUUGAUAUCAAAGGCCUUUUCUCAUUUGCUUGGGUUUAUUUGAGGUGUAUGACCUCAGUGUGGAAUUCUCCCACGUUCUGUGUGUGUGUGUGUGUGUGUGUGUGUGCGCGCACGCCAGUCGACUAGCAUGACUCAGAGUCAGAAGAACGUGCGAGGAGGAGUCCAUUCUUCAGCAGAUUUGAGUCUUAUCGGGCGGCUCGGUGUAAAACAUUCUGGUUAAUAUUCGACUUUGUGAAGCUUUGUGUUUUUCUCGCUUUCCGGCUAGCGCUAAUUUCAACCCGCUAAUUUCCGCCGGUUAAACCUUUCCUCGUUCCACGUAGCAGAACGGAGAUGGGUUGCCCUUGACGCGAAAACACCGGGAAAACUUCGAAACCCUUUGCACUUGCGAUCCAUUAGUCUGAAAGCCCGACACGUGAGGUGUACGCGAUGAAUAAUAAAUGCUACGUAGGCUGUGUGUCUGUGGGCUAGACGGAGGCUCAUGAAUUAUGGAUUGUUAUUCCUGGCGAAAGCGUUCAAACAGCAAAGUGGCCCUCGUGGUGCUUCCAUUUUCUUCCCCUCCUGUUUGAUCUCUCGUCUCUUAACUGCGCUUUUCUGCCGUGUGCUAAUCGUUAGCUCGCGCUAAGAUCGACGGCCCCUGCGUUAUUAGCCCAGAGCCUCACGCUGUCUUUAUCGCCGCUUGGAAAAACCGCUAGACUUGACUGGAGAAGCGGAAGACGAGUGUCGGUGUCGUCUCGUUCCUCAAAGAGCGACGUGACGAAACCAGAGCAAGAACAACCAGCGAGUCGGAAGCCGCGGGCCGCGCGGUGGAGAGAGAGAGAGAGAGACGCGAUAACGCGUUAGCGUUAGGGGAAAUGUCAGCGUUUCUGUCGUCCUUUUCAUUUCGCCUGAUUGAUCCUCACACUCCGAGCCCAGAGUGAUGCGCGUCAGCAUUUGCUGUGUCUAAAAAUCUGCAGAUUUCAUUUACGAAGGGAAAACGAAGUGGAAUUUCAUUUAAAAGGAUGAAAUUCAGUGCUAGGUUUAAUAGAUGAAGUACAAAAUAUUGUAGUCAUAGCGCUUAUAAAAAUAAAAAUAGACUUUUUGAUACGUUGUUUUCGUUUUUUUUUUUUUUUUUCUUCUUCUUCUGAUCCAAACAUUAGUGAAAUUUUUAAAAAAUCUUUUUUAUAUGGAAAAAAGCAAUUAGUGGAAAGAUUAUAGACCCCCAAAAAAAAAAAAAACACGAGUACGGUUUAAUUAAUUUAAUUAAUUUACUCUUUCACUAGGAGGGGAAAAAAAAAACGUAAAAGAAAGAUCUGAAUUUCCGCUUCACGUCAUGUUUUAAUAAAAUAUGUUUUUUUUUUAAAUUUGGAAAAGUGCCCCCCCCCCCCCCCCACACACACACAUUAAACAUGCAGAUCACUUUUUUAGUACAUAUAUACUGAUUUUAGUACAUGUAUUGCGCUACACAAAGUAUUGGCACCCCUCUAACCCUGUCGACUUGAGUUUUUAUUUUAAAUUCUGAUUUCUUUCCUUUUCUGGAACCAAGAGAAAGAAUCAGCAUUUUCACAGCUGGGAUGUGUGUGUGUGUGUGUGUGUGUGUGUGUGUGUGUGGGUAUUUAGUUGGCUCCAAAUCUAUCUCCACAGAUCUCUGGUUAUUAUUUCAUUAUCCGGCGCCACUAAAGCUCUAUUCUUGGUUAUUGUGCGCCAUAAACCCGGGCUGUAACGCGCAUUUCUUUCAGCUACUUCGCCCUUUUUUUAAGCCUUCAUGUUCUCACAUGGUUGCCAGGUACGUACUUAACAUGUGGGCGUCUGUUGGAGAGGUUAUACUCUCGGGGGAGCUAAUAAAGUGAGGGGAAAAGAACGAGAAUAAAGGGAUAGAGAAGCGAAGGAUUUAUGACGAUGAUUUUGCUCUUUUAUUUCGGAUGUUUUCCCGUCGCGCUCACAUUAGAGGCGGGCGAUCCGACGAUACAGUAUUAACAUCACGAUGCCACGGUGCACGUUUCUUUUCCGGAUAUUGUUUUUAUUAGAAAUUUGGUGCCGAAUCUUUAAAGUGAAAUUAAAAGUUUCAUGAAUUUAUUUUUUUUUAAAGUACAAUUUAAAAUAUUUGUCGUUUUUUAAGUAGAAAUUAUUUGAUGAUUAAAUAAAAAAAAAAAAAUUAAGACGAGUCAUUUCCGUGUUUAAUUUAUUUCGCGCGACGUUAAAUUCUCCGUUAAAUCCUUUUUAAAAAAAUUUUCCUGGCAGUUUGUACGCAAACUGUGUACGAUAACUCGCUGAAGACGUGUUCGCUUAAACGAGCACGUCGUAGCGCACGUCGUAGGGACUCUUGGCGGAGCUGUGACCGCGGAUUUGUCGGUCGGUUACGAGACGAGUGAUCCGCUUCCGUUUCUAAACAAACCGCUCGUAAAAGUUCUGGAACUUUCCUCAUAUCCGUCAAAGAUCCAGAAUAUGAUCGGAGCGCGCCGCGGUGAGAACACGCGUCUGGGAGGUUUCUCGGCGUGCGGAGAAAACUCUUCCGGAACGAGGGCGGGAAAACGCCCCCCCUGAAAUGGAGGCAAACAUAAUGCCUGGUAAUUUCACUUUGUUAGCUUGAAUGUAGCUAACGCGUCAAAAAAAAAAAAAAAACACAACGGAAAAGGAAAAGUAGCGCGAUUUGAAAUCAGGAGCGAGGCAUCGUGGUGAUUGUGGGUUAGCGUCGAACAAAAAGAGUGGUUAAAAAGAAACGAGGGAUGGAGAGGGAGAGGGGGUAGAGGGGGGGGAGAGAGAGAGAGAGAGAGGACCCCUCGUCCCGCUUCCAAAUGGAAAUCAAUCCCCCCCCCCAAAAAAAAAACGCUCAUUAGUAUUCGGCUCACGGAUGCCUCAAAAAUACACUAGGAGGAGGGGGAAGUGUGUGUGUGUGUGUGUGUGUGUGUGUGUCUGCUACAAACCGGGAGGAUCCCCAAACACAGGAAAGGGGGUUAGGAGGCAAUGGUUUUGGGAGGGAAUGGUUUUACUGGGGUUGUUUUUCUUCUUUAUAUCGCUAACGAUGCUAGGAAGUUUUUAACCAAUUUUCGACUUUAGUUAAUUACCAAGCGAUGGCGCAAUAAAAUGUUUCCCCCGGGGGUGGAUUUUCAUUUCUGAAAUGUCUUGCGAUGAGAUUAGGUGUAACGUGAUCCGUUCUCUUUUCCGAAUUUUCCUCGCUGUGGAACGGUCACUCGUUUUAAAUAGAUUUUCAUCCUUUACAAACGCACUGGGAUAAAAUCAGCGGGCUCGGGGCUGCGAGGUGCACACGACCGGCAGCUCCGCCUUAACACGACCGGCAGCUCCGCCUUAACACGACCGGCAGCUCCGCCUUAACACGACCGGCAGCUCCGCCUUAACAUUCAUAACUAUGAUUUCUAACGCGUUAGCUAACACUACGAUCUUUUUGUAUCGUGCGUCGGCUCUUGGGAGAAGAUGUGGAAUAUGAACUGUAGUGCCGUGUAGAACCUGUAUUGUGUUAGUCUCGGUGAAGGAGGCGUGGCCUUGGGGUCAGUCUCGGUGGAGGAGGCGUGGCUUCUUGGUCAGUCUCGGUGAAGGAGGUGUCUCAGUCAGAGGCGUGGCCACUUGAAGGAGGAGUGGCCUCUGUGUCAGUCUCAGUGUAGGAGGCGUGGCCUCGGUGUCAGUCUCUUUGAAGGAGGAGGCGUGGCCGCUGUACCUGGAAAUCUCAGACGAUGAACGACACACAGUGCUUUAUUAUCCGUUUAUAGUUACUUUGACCGAUGUGGAACCUCCAGUUAAAAAAACACCGUUAGUUCCCGUUCUCACAUUUUGCAGCUGUGAACUUUUCUUCAACACUUUUUUUCUUUUUUCUCUCAAACGUAAUAUGACAGAAAUAAAUAAAUAAAUAAAACCGCAGCUUGUUGUGCUUUUAAUUUAUUACGCAGUGAAGCGUAAUAAACUCCUCGGUCCUGAAGAUGUCCCACGGCUUCACCUCACACUGGAGACUCCUUCCGUCCGUGCCGGAUGAAUGAAUGUCUCCUCACAGAAAAUGAAGAUCACAUCAGUUAUUUGUAUUUGCUGAACUGUAAUAGCCCAUGUGGACGAGCUGUUGCUAUGGAAACGAUUGAAUAUUACAGCAGGGGGCAUUAAUGUGGUAUAGAUAUUAUGUUAAAGAAUAAUUUAAAAAAAAUGAAGGCAGUUUUUAUGUUUUACUUCAAAGCAAUGUGAGGUGUGUGUGUGUGUGUGUGUGUGUGUGUGUGUGUGUGUGUGUGUAAUAUUUCUUGUUGUGAUUAAUAAAAGUGUUUGUGUUUAUUUGUUAACAAAAUCGCUGUCGUGCCCUGCAGCUGUAGGAACAAAAAUAUUUAUGUAGUGUUGUUGUUGUUGUUGUUGUUGUUGUUGUUGUUGCUUAAAGAUAAAAGUUGACUUUAUUGUACAUAAAUUCUUUUUUUUUUUUCUUUUAAUAAUAAAUAUUUAGUUUUGAGAAGACUUUUAUAAUAAACAAAUGAAUAAUAUACAUACUGUAAUGCAGUGUUUUUAUUUCGUAUUAUGUAAACAUUAACAUCGUUUACGGAAAAGGAAAACGUUCUUAUCCGGCGUAUUAAAUUAUAACGCUUUAAAUUGUAAUUAUUUGUCAUUUUUCCGUCUUUAUUUAGGAGCCUGAUGGAAAAGCGUAAAUAUCGGCCUGGGUCAGACUGUGAUUUCUGCUUGUUCCCGUGGUUACGCGACGUUUAUAGUAUGAAAAUAUAUAUAUAUAUAUAAGAAAACGACGGAUGCUUCGGCAACCAAUCAGAAGCGAGAAUUUCGUUUGUGUGAACGUUUUAAAAAAAAAAAAAAAAAAAAAAAAAAAAAAAGCGUGAAAUUUUGUUUGGAUGAUUUGAACACCAUCAUUGUGUAGCGUGUGUACUCACUGACCCCCGUGUGUGUGUGUGUGUGUGUGUGUGUGUGUGUGUGUGAGAGACGCAUGCAGCUCGUUCCUUCACUGUAGAGACCGUUAGAGCAAAGAAAAGACAAACAAAAGGCGGGCAGCUUUUCACUUUUAUCACUGCAGAGAGAGAGAGAGAGAGAGAGAGAGAGAGAGAGAGAGAGCGCGAGAGAGAGAGAGAGAGAGAGAGAGAGAGAGAGAGCGAGAGAGAGAGAGAGAGAGAGAGAGAGAGAGAGAGAGAGAGAGCGAGCGAGUGAGAGAGCAGAUGAAUGAAGAAUGUAGGGGAGAAACGGCGGGCGUCUGAGAAAUAAAACGGUUUGAGGAGUGCAGGAUGUGGGUCAGAGGACACAGUCCUGAGAGAACACCUCAUCCACACACACACACACACACACACACACACACACCACUCCAAUGUGUGGAGCAACCGAAACAACUCAAACUAAAUAGAGCCAUUAAAUUUUAAACUAACACCACACUGAAAAACAAAUCCUCCAAGACUAACUAACUAGACUAACAUUUCUAAAUUCAUUCACUGUCUGUGUGUGUGUGUGUGUGUGUGUGUGUGUGUGUGUGUGUGUACAGGUGUUUCUCAGUACUAUACCGACUGUGAGUAUGCACUGCGUGUGUCUCUCAGGAGUAUUAUAAUUAGACGCCCUUGUCUCAGGAGUAUAGGUUAACAGAACCGUGCUCGUCUGUGAUAAACGUUGAGACACGUGGCUUUAAUCAUCUUCGAUCUUUCACGUUUCCUGAAUUUGCGUAAUUCUAGACACGUCGCUCUCUGGAGUUUCAGGACACACGAGACCGGGCGCUAUAGAGUUGCGCUAUAGAGUUGCACGUUGCUAACGGUGACCGCUCAGUCGCGUCAGUGCUUUUAGCGCGCUGCAUUCCUGCCCCGUGAUGUCACGUCUGAGCCUCCUCUCCGCUCCGCUCGCUUUCCGCCCGGAGAGGCACGUCCAACUUUCAGACGUGAAAAGGUUCUCACAGAAAGCCUGUGGUCUGGAACUCUCGCUCGUUAACGCGAGGGGAAGCGCAUUUCAGCGUGGAACGUCUCUUUGAGGUCAUGUGGAGGUCACGUCGCAGGCAGCGUCGCCGUAGUGGAUCUACGUUAGGUCUGAUGGGAAGCAGGGCAAGAAGAUAAAUAGUCAUGAUUUGGUUUGAUUUUGCUUUAAGAACGUUGACAUUCCCCAUGCUUGACCUUUGACCUCAUCUGUCGGGAUCAGGACAGAGAGGCAAUUAUCAUGUAUUUAAAAAAAAACAAAAAAAAAAACAAAUGAAAUCAGUGUUUAGUUAGCGUUAGUGUUUGCUCUGUACCGUACCUCGUAUCUGGCUAAUAUUUAUGUUCGGGUUUAGCUACCUGCCCUAUGAUGUACAGGAACUAGCCAGCUAGCUCUGUUUCAGAUGUCUGUAUAUGGCGCUAGCUUUAUUUCGAAUUAAAUAAAUAUAUACAGUGCAUAGAGAUUAUUAUCUUAACCAGCAGAAAAUCCGGAAUUGAUCACGGGUGUAGCUACAACAUAGCAAAGCUAGUUAGCCGGUUAGCUUCCAAUCUGGCUAGCUGUUGAAGUACGUAAUGCUUGGGUUUGAGUUUGGUGUAAUUAGCCAGCUAGCUCUAUAUUAUAUAUAUCGGCUAGCUAGCUCGGCAGGUUUAGCUGAGAUUUUUAACUAGCACAAAAAAAAAAAAAAAAAAUCAGGAAUGGCUAAAUUUUCUGAAGUAAACAAGUUUUUUUUUCUUCUUAGCAGUUUUGUUUGUGUUCAUGUUACGUCUCGUGCCGAGCUAGCAUCGUUCCGGACCGUGCUACGACCGCUAAUCAGACAGUUAUCCUGUUUAGUGUGUUAAUUUUCUGGCAUGUAGACGGGACAACUCUGUUAACACUAACACACUCACACACACACACACACACACACACACACACACACACACACACGCCGAGUGUUUAAACCAGACGAAGCCAUGGAGCAACGAAAUAAAAUUUGGUGUCUCGAGUGAGUUUAAAACAACACGCUAACCCCCGUUUCAGCAAGAACAACAGGAGGACGUGAGGGUGAGAGAGAGAGAGAGAGAGAGAGAGAGAGAGAGAGAGAAAGAGAAAGAAAGAGAAAGAACAACUUCUCCCAAAAUACCACCGCAAAUUACAGCCAGAUUUAAACUUGUGAACUCGCUGAAAUGACACGCACUAAAUGACCUCGAACCACAGACAGUAAUUAUUCAUUAUUAAUUCAGCUGAACCUGACACACACACACACACACACACACACACACACAAUCGGCUCAUUAUUCCACACAGCGGAUCGGCCGAGACACAUCUGCUGUCGGAGGAAAUGGCUUUAGCUUAGCGCCGGGGCUACAAUGCUAACGUGUUGGUCUCGUACCGGUUUGGAGUUUAUCAGACAUUUUGUGUAGAAAGUCAUUUCACACUGGUGCGAACAUCUGGAUGUUGGUUUAUGUGUGGGGGAAAAAAAGGAAAAUAUUCAGUCAAUUAAUCAAUAAACAGAAAAUCCAAAUUCAAUAUCAACAAUAAGAACAAAAAAAGUGAAAAACACUAAAUAUUCUGUUAU
ensembl:lncRNA